rnacentral:rRNA from 1 species
GGAAAUCUCACCAGGCCCGGACACUGGAAGGAUUGACAGAUUGAUAGCUCUUUCUUGUUAGCAAUAACAGGUCUGUGAUGCCCGUUCUUAGUUGGUGGAGUGAUUUGUCUGGUUAUAUCCGAUAACUAACGAGAAUCUGUCAUGCUAAAUAGUUUCUGCUUCCCUUUUGAGCAGACAAUUCUUAGAGGGACUGGCGACUCUUAGUCACACAAGAUUGAGCAAUAA